rnacentral:rRNA from 1 species
UACGUAGGGUGCGAGCGUUGUCCGGAAUUAUUGGGCGUAAAGAGCUUGUAGGCGGUUUGUCGCGUCUGCCGUGAAAGCCCAGGGCUUAACCCUGGGUCUGCGGUGGGUACGGGCAGACUAGAGUGUGGUAGGGGAGACUGGAAUUCCUGGUGUAGCGGUGAAAUGCGCAGAUAUCAGGAGGAACACCGAUGGCGAAGGCGGCGAUCUGGGUCGAUACUGACGCUGAGGUGCGAAAGCGUGGGGAGCAAACAGG